CGGGUAUAAUUUUUUUUUCCCUCCAGUCUCUCUCCCAAAUUCCCUCCCCCCACUCUCUCCCACCCGCCGCCCACCACGAAGCAGCAGCGCCGCCGAUGGGUCUUCCAAUCUGAGUCAGGCAUGACAAAAUAAUAUCUGCAAAUAGCGAUGCGUCUAGUGGACGUCCAUUAUGUCACUGUGGAGUUCUUGCCUAUUUAAGGAACUCCUGGACAACUACCAAUUUUAGUAGAAAGCGGUACGACUAUUGUGUAAACUACAAGGCAUGACAAAAUAAUAUCUGCAAAUAGCGAUGCGUCCAUUAUGUCACUGUGGAGUUCUUGCCCACUUAAGGAACUCCUGGACAACUGCCAAUUUUAGUAGAAAGCGGUACAACUAUUGUCUAAACUACAAGGUAAUUUUUUAAAUUUAUUUUUCAUUUUUUCUUUUUUCGUUGGUAAUUUAUGACAACCGGUUGUUAGAUAUGUUUCGUACCAGUUUUCCCUCAUAUAUAAAUGUAAAUGUAAUUAUAUAAUAUAUAUGGACCCAUUGAGCAUUAUUGUCCUAUUUUAUUAGCAAUUCCCUUGUUCAUUUGUGCUUCUGAAUUUUUCAACCAAUUCGUUAUAUACAAAAAUUUGCUCCCUAGUCAGGUAUUCCAUUCAAAAGAUAGCACAGGGAGACAUUUGAGUUUUAUUCCAAUUCUGAUCUUUGAAUGGACUUAGAUGGGCAGGGCGUUUCCCACUAAUCAAAUUGUUUCAGCCUAGAUUUUAGCUACUUUAUGUAUAAGGUCAUAACACAUUUCUUUUAUUGUUGAUUAUUGAUCAAAACAAAACAAUCAAAUUCAGAUUCUUUAUCUAGAGUUGGUAGCAAGCUUUGGUAAAAUGCUAUAGGAUAUUUCAAGUUUUUGCCCAAGCUUAGCCAUCAAGCGGCUACCAGUGCCAGUGCCAGUGCCAGGAUCAACCUGCACAAUCCAAGUUGUAUUAUAGGCCAAACAGCAGAAAACAUUGGGACUUUUAACUUGUACGAUAUGGUAAGAUUUCAAAAG